GGGCUACAGCUCGAUGGCAGAGCCUCUGUUUUGCACGCAGAAGGUCCCACGUUCAAAUCUGGGCAUCUCCA